AUUGAACGCUGGCGGCAGGCCUAACACAUGCAAGUCGAGCGAGCGGCGGACGGGUGAGUAAUGUAUGUGGACUGUCCGUUAGAGGGGGAUAACUACUGGAAACGGUAGCUAAUACCGCAUACUAUCGGAUAACCCAUAUGGGAUUAGCUAGUAGGUGUGGUAAUGGCUCACCUAGGCGCUGAUCCCUCUCGGGUCUGAGAGGAUGAUCAGCCACACUGGAACGGAGACACGGCCCAGACUCCUACGGAGGCAGUAGUGGGGAAUAUUGCACAAUGGGCGAAAGCCUGAUGCAGCCAUGCCGCGUGUAUGAAGAAGGCCCUCGGGUUGUAAAGUACUUUCAGACGGGAGGCGUUACCGACAGAAGAAGCACCGGCUAACUCCGUGCCAGCAGCCGCGGUAAUUC
rnacentral:rRNA from 1 species